rnacentral:rRNA from 1 species
UACGGAGGGUGCAAGCGUUAUCCGGAUUCACUGGUUUAAAGGGUGCGUAGGUGGGCAGGUAAGUCAGUGGUGAAAUCUCCGGGCUUAACCCGGAACUGCCGUUGAUACUAUUUGUCUUGAAUAUAGUGGAGGUGAGCGGAAUAUGUCAUGUAGCAGUGAAAUGCUUAGAUAUGACAUAGAACACCAAUUGCGAAGGCAGCUUGCUACACUAUUAUUUGACACUGAGGCACGAAAGCGUGGGGAUCAAACAGG